AACUUAAUGAAUUGAGCAAGUGAUUUUUCAAUUCUGAAAAAUUUGACCAGGGAAGCCGGUGUGAAUCCGGCGCGGUCCCGCCACUGUAAAGGGGAGUAAUUGCCAUAUCCACUGAGGAAACUUGGGAAGGAGGCAAUUUACGGUGAACCUAAGCCAGGAGACCUGAUUGCUCUUAUGCUCUACU
rnacentral:ncRNA from 2 species